UACAGGGGGUGCAAACAUUGCUCGGAAUUAUUGGGCGUAAAGCGCACGUAGGCGGCAUUGCAAGUCGGAUGUGAAAUCUUAUGGCUUAACCAUAAAAGUGCAUCCGAAACUGCAGUGCUUGAGUACUUAAGAGGAUCGCGGAAUUCCCGGUGUAGAGGUGAAAUUCGUAGAUAUCGGGAGGAACACCAGUGGCGAAGGCGGCGAUCUGGGAAGAUACUGACGCUGAGGUGCGAAAGCGUGGGGAGCAAACAGG
rnacentral:rRNA from 1 species